GGUUAAGCGACUAAGCGUACACGGUGGAUGCCCCGGCAGUCAGAGGCGAUGAAGGACGUGCUAAUCUGCGAUAAGCGUCGGUAAGGUGAUAUGAACCGUUAUAACCGGCGAUUUCCGAAUGGGGAAACCCAGUGUGUUUCGACACACUAUCAUUAACUGAAUCCAUAGGUUAAUGAGGCGAACCGGGGGAACUGAAACAUCUAAGUACCCCGAGGAAAAGAAAUCAACCGAGAUUCCCCCAGUAGCGGCGAGCGAACGGGGAGUAGCCCAGAGCCUGAAUCAGUGUGUGUGUUAGUGGAAGCGUCUGGAAAGGCGCGCGAUACAGGGUGACAGCCCCGUACACAAAAAUGCACAUGCUGUGAGCUCGAUGAGUAGGGCGGGACACGUGGUAUCCUGUCUGAAUAUGGGGGACCAUCCUCCAAGGCUAAAUACUCCUGACUGACCGAUAGUGAACCAGUACCGUGAGGGAAAGGCGAAAAGAACCCCGGCGAGGGGAGUGAAAAAGAACCUGAAACCGUGUACGUACAAGCAGUGGGAGCACGCUUCGGCGUGUGACUGCGUACCUUUUGUAUAAUGGGUCAGCGACUUAUAUUCUGUAGCAAGGUUAACCGAAUAGGGGAGCCGAAGGGAAACCGAGUCUUAACUGGGCGUUAAGUUGCAGGGUAUAGACCCGAAACCCGGUGAUCUAGCCAUGGGCAGGUUGAAGGUUGGGUAACACUAACUGGAGGACCGAACCGACUAAUGUUGAAAAAUUAGCGGAUGACUUGUGGCUGGGGGUGAAAGGCCAAUCAAACCGGGAGAUAGCUGGUUCUCCCCGAAAGCUAUUUAGGUAGCGCCUCGUGAAUUCAUCUCCGGGGGUAGAGCACUGUUUCGGCAAGGGGGUCAUCCCGACUUACCAACCCGAUGCAAACUGCGAAUACCGGAGAAUGUUAUCACGGGAGACACACGGCGGGUGCUAACGUCCGUCGUGAAGAGGGAAACAACCCAGACCGCCAGCUAAGGUCCCAAAGUCAUGGUUAAGUGGGAAACGAUGUGGGAAGGCCCAGACAGCCGGGAUGUUGGCUUAGAAGCAGCCAUCAUUUAAAGAAAGCGUAAUAGCUCACUGGUCGAGUCGGCCUGCGCGGAAGAUGUAACGGGGCUAAACCAUGCACCGAAGCUGCGGCAGCGACGCUGAUGCGUUGUUGGGUAGGGGAGCGUUCUGUAAGCCUGCGAAGGUGUGCUGUGAGGCAUGCUGGAGGUAUCAGAAGUGCGAAUGCUGACAUAAGUAACGAUAAAGCGGGUGAAAAGCCCGCUCGCCGGAAGACCAAGGGUUCCUGUCCAACGUUAAUCGGGGCAGGGUGAGUCGACCCCUAAGGCGAGGCCGAAAGGCGUAGUCGAUGGGAAACAGGUUAAUAUUCCUGUACUUGGUGUUACUGCGAAGGGGGACGGAGAAGGCUAUGUUGGCCGGGCGACGGUUGUCCCGGUUUAAGCGUGUAGGCUGGUUUUCCGGGCAAAUCCGGAAAAUCAAGGCUGAGGCGUGAUGACGAGGCACUACGGUGCUGAAGCAACAAAUGCCCUGCUUCCGGGAAAAGCCUCUAAGCAUCAGGUAACAUCAAAUCGUACCCCAAACCGACACAGGUGGUCAGGUAGAGAAUACCAAGGCGCUUGAGAGAACUCGGGUGAAGGAACUAGGCAAAAUGGUGCCGUAACUUCGGGAGAAGGCACGCUGAUAUGUAGGUGAAGCGACUUGCUCGUGGAGCUGAAAUCAGUCGAAGAUACCAGCUGGCUGCAACUGUUUAUUAAAAACACAGCACUGUGCAAACACGAAAGUGGACGUAUACGGUGUGACGCCUGCCCGGUGCCGGAAGGUUAAUUGAUGGGGUCAGCGCAAGCGAAGCUCUUGAUCGAAGCCCCGGUAAACGGCGGCCGUAACUAUAACGGUCCUAAGGUAGCGAAAUUCCUUGUCGGGUAAGUUCCGACCUGCACGAAUGGCGUAAUGAUGGCCGGGCUGUCUCCACCCGAGACUCAGUGAAAUUGAACUCGCUGUGAAGAUGCAGUGUACCCGCGGCAAGACGGAAAGACCCCGUGAACCUUUACUAUAGCUUGACACUGAACAUUGAGCCUUGAUGUGUAGGAUAGGUGGGAGGCUUUGAAGUGUGGACGCCAGUCUGCAUGGAGCCGACCUUGAAAUACCACCCUUUAAUGUUUGAUGUUCUAACGUUGACCCGUAAUCCGGGUUGCGGACAGUGUCUGGUGGGUAGUUUGACUGGGGCGGUCUCCUCCUAAAGAGUAACGGAGGAGCACGAAGGUUGGCUAAUCCUGGUCGGACAUCAGGAGGUUAGUGCAAUGGCAUAAGCCAGCUUGACUGCGAGCGUGACGGCGCGAGCAGGUGCGAAAGCAGGUCAUAGUGAUCCGGUGGUUCUGAAUGGAAGGGCCAUCGCUCAACGGAUAAAAGGUACUCCGGGGAUAACAGGCUGAUACCGCCCAAGAGUUCAUAUCGACGGCGGUGUUUGGCACCUCGAUGUCGGCUCAUCACAUCCUGGGGCUGAAGUAGGUCCCAAGGGUAUGGCUGUUCGCCAUUUAAAGUGGUACGCGAGCUGGGUUUAGAACGUCGUGAGACAGUUCGGUCCCUAUCUGCCGUGGGCGCUGGAGAACUGAGGGGGCUGCUCCUAGUACGAGAGGACCGGAGUGGACGCAUCACUGGUGUUCGGGUUGUCAUGCCAAUGGCACUGCCCGGUAGCUAAAUGCGGAAGAGAUAAGUGCUGAAAGCAUCUAAGCACGAAACUUGCCCCGAGAUGAGUUCUCCCUGACUCCUUGAGAGUCCUGAAGGAACGUUGAAGACGACGACGUUGAUAGGCCGGGUGUGUAAGCGCAGCGAUGCGUUGAGCUAACCGGUACUAAUGAACCGUGAGGCUUAACCUU
rnacentral:rRNA from 1 species